GCCUGAGUGGCUCAGUCGGCUGAGCGUCUGACUUUGGCUCAGGUCACGAUCUCACGGUUUGUGGGUUCGAGCCCCCGCACCGGGCU
rnacentral:tRNA from 1 species